rnacentral:ncRNA from 1 species
GAUAACUGGCUUGUGGCGGCCAAUCGUUCAUGGCGACGUCGCUUUUUGAUUCUCCAAUGUCGGCUCUUCCUAUCAUUGCGAAGCAAAAUUCGCCAAGCGUUGGAUUGUUCACUCGCUUAAGGGAACGUGAGCUGUGUUUAGACCGUCGUGAGACAGGUU